GAUGAACGCUGGCGGCGUGCUUAACACAUGCAAGUCGAGCGAACAGACGAGGAUCUUGCUCCUCUCACGUUAGCGGCGGACGGGUGAGUCACACGUGGAUAACCUACAUUUAAGACUGGGCUAACGACGGGAAACCGAAUCUAACAUCGGAUAAUAUACUGAAACGCAUGGUUCAAUAGUGAAAGACGGUUUUGCUCUAUCUAAUUGAUGGCCCCGAGCCGCAUUAGCAAGUUGGUAAGGUAACGGCUUACCAAGGCGACGAUGCGUAGCCGACCUGAGAGGGUGAUCUGCCACACUGGAAGUGAGACACGGUCCAGACUCCUACGGGAGGCAGCAGUAGGGAAUCUUCCGCAAUGGGCGAAAGCCUGACGCAGCAACGCCGCGUGAGUGAUGAAGGUCUUCGGCUCGUAAACCUCUGUUAUUCGGGAAGAACAAAUAUGUAAUUAAAUAUACACGUCUUGACGGUACCUUAUCAGAAAGCCACGGCUAACUACGUG
rnacentral:rRNA from 1 species